rnacentral:rRNA from 1 species
UACAGAGGUCUCAAGCGUUGUUCGGAUUCAUUGGGCGUAAAGGGUGCGUAGGUGGCGGGGUAAGUCAGGUGUGAAAUCUCAGGGCUCAACCCUGAAACUGCACUCGAUACUGCUCUGCUUGAGGACUGGAGAGGAGACUGGAAUUCACGGUGUAGCAGUGAAAUGCGUAGAUAUCAGGAGGAACACCGGUGGCGAAGGCGGGUCUCUGGGCAGUAACUGACGC